AACCCUCAAGAAGUCUCAUAUUUAUUUUAAAGGUUAAAAGGGUUAGCAUUUCUCCAGAUACUUUAUUUAGUAAAUAUUUCAAGUCAAUCAUAAACCCACUGCUCAGAAAUUUCUAUUAUCCAGAAUCUAUUAUCUAACCAAUCCUGAUGCUUCAAUGCACGACUUAAGUUGGUUUUAAUUCCUCAAAAAAAGGAACCAAAAUCAGCCUAAAACAAGACAUGCCAUAUUCUACAUUGCAGAACUAGUUGAUAAAGACUCAGAGGCUUUUUGUAGAAAAACGGGUGCAGCAAUGAGGUCCAAAAGUGAUGAAGAUGAAAGAUACCUGGAAUGAUACCACAUCUUCUACACCUUUUGUUUUCUGCAAGUGAUACACACUGCAGACAAAACGUUUUUGUGCCAAACAGCACAAAAAUCUGGUUUUCUACUAUUAAGCACAAAGGAAAAACACUGACAGCAAGCGUGGUAAAUAAAUCCCUCCCUUGAGAACGAAAGCAGCAGACAGGAGGGGGCUGACAUGCAUGCAGGAGAAAACUAAACACCAUCUUUUUUUCUACCUGCACAAGUUGCCAUUUGCUGCAGCGAUCAAGAAUCUCUUUUGCCCGUUGAUUUCAAAAGCUAGGCUCUCAGAAAAAUUCUCUCUCAAGUCAUCUGUUGAUAUGCUUUAAGAGUACGAUAUUCGUAUCACUGGAUCUUUAAGAGAAAAAUCCAUUUUCUUUCCUGUUCAGGUAAACAUGUUUACAGCUCCUGCACAGACGCUGGGUGGUUCAGACUCACAUGUCACACACAUGUCGUCAGCAACAAGAAAAGCCCCUUUCUCUGGAUCAUCAACAUUUUUAAUAAGGUAAAGAGAAAAGCACUUUCCAAACUUACCUUCAGCACAGCCAAAUCAUGAGCUAAAUAUAAAUAUUUACACUACGACAAGGAAUUAAUAAUACGAACGUGCAAACAGAAAUACUUGCUAGAAAACGCACACAACAAAAAUAAGGAAGCCCUCCUAAGUUCAAAGCGAUCAAACCAACUCGCUGCCCCUGGAAGGGCCGUUAUUUAUCCCCACGUUCCGCCCGAAGCGGUCAGGAUUAGAGGAGCAGCACCCAUCGUGACUCUGGUCUAUUUCGGAGCCCGUUCACUGCGUACGAAAACAUCUCAGAUCGCAGGCGAAAGCCUUCCUAUCUGUGACCCUGCACAGGAAAUGCCACAUAAAACCUAAAAUUGCCAAGGAAGGUUACAAAAUCUCCUGCUUUACAUCCCAUUCCGAAGAGUCGCUGAGAGAACCGAACUACUCCAUUUUCCAGAAAAUCAGCAGAGUGGGUGUUACGGGCGGUUAUUCCCCCCGCCGUGUACCUUUCAAAUGCAUCUUAAAGUAACACACGUACCGGGGGGGGGGGGGAACGACAAACCCACCCCAGAGCAGCCCUACGGUCUGAAAUGUAAGUGUAAUUCCUUAUAUAGACCGCAGCAGUUGGUCGCACACGCACGGGGAGCGGAGCGGGGGCCCCCGGCCAAACCGUUACCACCCAUUAUUAUACAAACAGUGCUCGGCCGGAACCUUGUUGCCAGGGGAGACGGGCGCUUUACGGCAGGACGUUUGAACGGCGGCGGGGGAAAAGUUGCGGCCGCAGGCCCCAUCAAGAGACAACAGCCGGGCGAGAGUCGUGCUGUUGACGCUGCAUGUGAAAUCUGUCAUUCUUGGGCUUUCCUUAACUGUACUUCCCAUUUCUAUGAAGAGGGGAAGAGGUAUAAAGUUCAGCGCCCUAAAAAAAUAGAAAGGGAAGGUUUUUCACAGGGAUAUAGUGAUGGAUAACCCUUUCUGUUGACUUGGGCAAGACUGAAGAAAAGAAAGCAAACAGACAGACCUGUCUAUUGCUGUGUCUACCUAGACUGAAAUGCCAGACUUAGCAAACAGGCCAUUCUUCAUGCAUAGAAAAAAAUACUGGACAGAGUAUCCAGCCAGCCAGGGAUCAUCAAAUGUACCAGAGCAAAAUCCAUGGUUAAACUGAAAUGGAAAUAUUUAAGAGUCCAUCUGACAAGUUGUCUGCUUGCUGGCAGCACAUCCGUCACUUGGAGCAUUUUUCCUCCUCACCUGACAGCACUGCUUAUCCAACUGUUCUCAGAGUGGGAAUCUGCAGAAGGCACUUAAAGAAGAGACAGAGGAGGCUGUCCCCGGAAAGCAGCGCUCUUUGAAAUGAAUACAGGGAGGUUUUUGGCCGGUGCCUCACCAUAUUCUGCUGAGUCAAGUCAGCAUUAAGUGAAUACAAAUUCUCCCUUGGGAGUCCUAAUUGCAGCUGAGGAUCUGAGGAAGUUAUGGAAGGAAACAGGAGGGCUGCAGUGCUCUCAUAGCUGCUUCUUUUGAAUAUCCAGGAAACAUACAAGGAGAGACCCAUGACCCACAGGACCCGAGAACUGCAAUUGCAGGCCAUAUCCAGCUUUAUUCCUGUUGAUUUCAUCUGAUCCUAUUGCAGAGAGAUUUUGGGAUGAUCAGUUAAUCAGUAGCAAGUCCCUACAGAGCUGUCUAUAAUGGGCAUUACUAUGAAAUUUGCCAGCAUCAGUGCUGUAUCUUUUGUGCACACAGCUGCUGGUGCUUAGUGUCCAUUUCUCCCUGCAUAGAUUGAUGUACAUAGCAUCUGAUAAUUUUUUUAGUGUAUUUAGUAUAUUGUAACAAUUUAUAUCAUGAGUGCGUCAAUGCAACUUGUGGAGGGUAAUCAGCCUAUAGUUACCCUUCAUUUAUCUACGGGCAGUAAAAAGUAAAAAGCGGUUAUUGGUCCUUUCUUGGAGUGACACAGCUGAAAUCCAUCACCCAAAACAUAACGGUGGGCCGUAUUGUCCGGAGUUGGCUGUGCAGAUGGAAGGAGGGAUGGGUAGAAGUGGGUGUCACUGGCAUACAGCCUGCAAAGCUGCUUGUGAAAGGGUGAAGAGAAGGAACAACAGGAGAAGCAGAAGUAUGCUUUGGGGAGAAAGUCCAGCAAAAGUACUUUUUCAGCAAACUGCUGCCUAAAAAGAGCCUUGAAAUGGCAAGCACAGGAGCUGCCUUGUAGUGUUUAAUUCCUGCUUGGUUAGAGAAGCCAUAAACCAGAGGUUUCUGAAAACUUCUGAUUUGCAUUUGGCAGCCAACAGCUUCAAGAGCAGAUCAGGGCAUGGAGGGGCCUACGUCAGCCCCUGCCCACCUAUGCUCCCGCGCUCCCCAGGGCUCCCCUCUGCCACCCCUCUGAGCAGCCCGGGGACAGCACCCAUCUGUGCCUGAUUCAGCAAAACAAAGAAGCAGGAUGAGGUUGGAAGAGCUCCUAAGGCAUCAGCCAGUAAUUAAGAAUCCUCAUUUAGGAAGAGCCUUGAAGCAGGAUGAUGACCUGUGUCUGGGAAGUAAAGGCUGGUCUUUAAGUCAGUGGCAGUGGCUUGAGAAUUCUGGGGUUGUGUUUUGUUCAGGUUUGGUUUUUUAAGUUUUGGAGGGUGAUUUGGUUUGGUUUGGGGGUUUUCUGGUUUGUUUUUUUUUGGGGUGGUGGUAGUGGUGGUGGUGCUGUUUUGUUUCUCUCAUUUUAAAUAUCCUUACUUCAUAUUCCUAAGUGGUUUAGAAUGAAGUGCUCCAAAAUAGUGAAGCACAGAUAAAGAACAAGAGAAUUUCCACGUAUCUGAAAUAGUAAUCAUCCCCAGAAUUCUGAGUAUGAAUGUUUGAUACAGUGUUACAAAAAAAUAACAAAGCUACCUGUAGUGGGACAUCAGGAAGAUUUCCCAGAAUAUUCUUUGAAAGUGAGCAGUGCCUUGAACCUAUCGAAGUAAAAGUCCAAUGGAGUAUGAUCUUCACCUGGCACAUGCUACCUUGCUUUCAGCCAUUUUUUACACUUUGUUUUUGUCCAUCCACUUUCAGAUGUAACUAAUCUCCCCUGGGUGGCAAUUCCAGCAUUGCUGCAGAAACUGUCCCACUGCACAUUCUGUAAUAAAAAAUACGCCACAACAGGUUAUAUUUAACAAGGAAAAGAGGAACAGAAAGUGGUACAUCUGCACAAUGAAUAUAAUAUAGCAUUGACUUGGAAUUUCCUGACUUCAGCAGUCCCUCCGAAAUAAUAAUGCAUUAAUAGAAUUACACUUAGCUUUCUGCUUUUAAAAGGAAAAUAUUUGAAAGCAGAAGUCUUUUCAUCUUCCAAGUUCUUCUGGCUCUGUGUGUGAGAUAGUGGAAAUAACACAGGACUGUGUAACCACAGCAAACAAGUGGAGUGGGAAUUUUGUAGCUGCUCGGCUGGCCCAAAGCAGAGCAGUAGUGAAGGAGCAGCCUGGAUUUUGGAUUUAAUAGGUGGAAUAUUUUUUCCCCCUAAACUCCAUUCAUUUCUAUGGAUAAAAUAAAAUUACUCUGUUGCAGGCAGAACUGGUGGUGACCUGUAAUUAAGGAUAUCUGACAUUUCCAUUAUAAGAAGCAGGUUUCAGUUGCCUAUAGUUUCAGCUGUUGGUUGGUUUAAAUUUUAACUGAUUAGGCAAGAGUUUCCUUUUCUGGGUAUCCCCUGCAAUCUGACUUUUUUAGAGGGAUGCAGUAGAGAAAGAGUGAGAAGUUCAUCAAAUUGUUCAUCAGUAUCUAUAAAGCAGUUAAGCAAAGAUACGUUCCUUUGACCAUAUAGAGAAGCUCUAAACUCCUUGCUUAAAAUUUGGCGAGUAAGUCACCCCCUUGUUGGGAUGUCUUUUCAGCUUUCUGUGGAAAAUCUUGGCUGAUACAUAAGCAGGAGAAAUUUGUUCAAAUUUAGCACAUGGAUGUGCAAAAAAAAAUUCCAUCUACUUUGAGCAUGCUCCAAAGCAGGGACAGAAUUAGCUCACUGAGGAACACUUGAUUGAUCCACCAGUAAAAUGCUGAAAGGCAGCAGAAAUAUGUACAUAUUUAACCUCCCAGCAAUUUUAACUUCAGUGGGGCUUAGCUGAUGAAAUGUAUAAAGUCAUUUUUCUUUCCUGUUUUACCAGUAAAAUUCCCUGAUAUAGACAAACCUUCAAAGUGUAGACUUUAUUCUCUCUCUUAUAAAUGAAUUUUAUCUUUAGCAUCACUGUAAAACCAAAAACAUGACCCUGUGACUCACUGACUUCUUCCUAGGUGUUUUUCUAGAAGGCAUUACCAAAUGCUCUUUGGAUACUGACAUUUUUAACCAUAUUAAUAAAAAUAUCAACAAUGUGCACGGAUGACAUAAUUUUGGGAUCUCGAUCAGUGGAGAUUGAUUGACAUUACCUGUAUAUAGCACUAUGUCUUAGCACCAUUCUCCAUUAAGUCUGGGUUUAAUAUCCAACCCAUUGCUACCAAUCAGGGUAUCAUUGAUGCGCCACAGUCACAGGCUUUUGUUCUGAAGCUUCCUCAGUGCUCUACCAAAGCAAAAAUCCCUUCUUCUCUUCAUUGCCCAUGCAUCUUCCCCCUUUUAGCUUUUUGCUGUCAUCCAUAAAAUCUAAGAAAUGAAAAGGUGUAGAAACUGCAUUAUUACUGGUAAAAAACCAGCCUUGCUAUUAUUUACAGAAGCAGCACCAAUCUUUUGUUUUCACCAUAAGAGAGCAAAUGUGUUUGUUUUCCUUUGCAGGGUAUUUGGUAUGUCAAUAAUUUAAGAUAUUAGGGUUUGACACUUCACUGUUUUCCUGAGGGAGUAUUUGGAGAUAAGUUCACAAACCACCAGGUUUUAAACAAGACACAUUGCUCCUGGUUUGGGAACGGCUCUUAGAGCUGGGUGUAGUGUGCACCGAACGUCAAGCAGCCUGGCUGAUGGGCUAAUGCCAUCAUUGCCCGGACUCCCUGAGGGGCUGAUGGGGGUCAGGCCAUAGAGGGGUUAUGCAUCUUCUUCCGUUUAACUGCAGGCUUACAGCAAGCCUGAGCAGCUUUUCCUGAAGUGAGCUUGAGCGUGGGAUCAAUGCGAACACAUACAUUCUGUAGCUUCGUGGGACCUAGAAGAUCCGGCGGGAAUACGUAUGCAUCUCAGUCGUGAUUGCUGCAAGCUGUGAUCAUGACCAGGGACAUUGCAGAGCUUCAAGACCAUGUUGAAGACCAUGUUAAGGUUAAUGACAUUAUUUACAGCAUGCUGAAAGCAUCCUUCCUCUGUAAGAUAUAGAAGAAUAAACAACGUGAACUGGGACUUUUUUGAUGUGUAAGUUCAACACAUUGCUGCAUCAUAAAAUCAUCUAGGAAAUUUUGUUUGGGGGUGUGUGGUUCAGACUAAAGAUAUAAUACUGAUUUUCAGUAAUUAAAAAGUGCAAUGUGUAUGGUGUUUACAAAUUUUAGAAGCUACAUCAGGGUUUUGUCUACCGCUUGUAUGGUAUCUACCUACUACAUGUCCUAUCAUUUAGCAUAAGGGGAAAAAAUAUGCUGGCGUUGUUUUUUUCCAUCUGUUCCAUAACCUUUGAUACGGAGCUUCUAAAAAGUUUAAAGCAGACUAAACAGGGCACAGUCAAAACAGUAAGGCAGCUUUUCAUGCAUUCUUUAAAUCAGAUGUUUUAAUUCUAGUUUUCAGUUUGUUUGCUAAUUAGAAAACAGGUCUGCAAUGUGUUAUCUAUCUUCUUCCAUUUGAAUCAAUAAACAGAGAAGUCAUGAGAAAGGGACCUCUUCCCUUCAGGGAGUCUUUUCUUGUUAAUGUUGACUCAGGUUGCUAGUGCUUAUUCUUGUCUCCUUUCCUCUUCUGCCUGCUUCCCAGUCUUUUCUCUUUCAGUUCCCCCUCUUGUUUCCCAAUGUGAGAUCUGUUGCCUUACACACAGCAUGUAUGCAUUUGUCCUUUAUGUUUACCUGCUGUAUCAUGAGUGCACUGUAUUUUUCAGUCUGCAUAGCAAAAGUAAACUCUUUAACCAGACUGAAUGAUGCUUUUUAAGCCUAUAAAAUUUUCAAACGUGAGUUUCAUUGAAAGUGAAACAGAUAAAUACUUCAGCUACAAAUAAUGAAUGUGCAUUUUUAAAUAACUGGUGAGACCUGUUUGGAAUUAUCCUGAAGGUUUGCCUCCUACCUGAAAAACCUGCUGGCUGAGAAAUGAGUACUUUAUGUGCUUGCAACUUGAUAACAUUGAGAUAAGUUAUUAAAUGGUCUCAAUUUUUUUAUUUGCUCUGUGCUUUUGGACAGCAUAGUCAGAUUUUAUACCUUCUCUUUUAUGCUUAGCAGAGUCCAGUUCCUGCAGAGGCUUUACAGGUAUAUUUAACUUUAUUUUGGUUAACUGUCUGUGUAAAGACUUUUUAGAUUUUGGACCCUGAAUAGUUUCUUCCUUGCUGAAAAGACCACUUUAAAUUUCAAUAGGGAAACAGAAAAGUCCCUUAACAACUUUUAAGGAAGCUUUUAAAACAAUGAUUUGAGGAUGUACUAUUUAAAGUGAAUUGCAUCAGAUGCUGGCUUAUUUUGAAAUAGAAGUCUGAAUAGCAGUGACCUGCCUUUUGUGUGUUCAGGCUUGCUACUAGGAGAUUCAAAAACUAUUUGUAAGGGAGUGAAUAAUCAGAAAUUCAAGUGUAACUGAAUGCUGUGGGGUCCAAGGGCUGCAAUUCCCACUUGUAUAAGCAUUAGCAGGAUAUAUAGGGUCCCUGCAGACUCUAGAUACACCUUGCUUGUACUCUGUAUUGCUCCUGUGUGUCAGCUCUGAAGGGUUUCUCCUGUCAUCUGGAAAUAAAGAAAGGUCAGUUAAAACAAAUAUCAUAAAAGGACACGGUAGAAUUUUUCAAAUUUUAGAGACAUUAUCUAUCUUCAAAUCCCCUCACUAGACCUACAUUAAAAUAAUGAUCGCAACCCAAAUAUAGAACAUUUGAACUGUCCUUUUCCAGGCCAGAUGUGCUGUGUUAUGUAAUGCCAAUUCACGGUGAUUGCUGGAGCUUGGAGUAAAAGGAAAAUGAACAUAUUGUAGAUAUUGUUCCAAAGAGCAAACGUUAUAAAAAAAUGUUAUAAAACUCAAGGCCUUAAGCAAAAACUUUUAGCAAACACAAAUUCUACACAGAGCCUUGCCUACAUGGAGGCUGAUCUCUCCAGCAAGGUACAAUUCAGCCACAGGCCCCAGAGGUUUCAGUAAGACGAGAGUCCAAACACACAUCCCUACACCAGUACGUUUUACCCAGAUACAAAAGCAUUGUUAACUCCUAAGAGCUUAUUCCUCUAGGCACGGCACAUUUCUAAGUUAAAUGCACCACAGCAGAAAUUUUCUCCAUAUGCUUUUCAAAACCCUAUUAAAUAAAAAACAUCCAAGCAAGUAGUUGUUGAUACGUAUGUGCAACAGGCUUCCCAGAAAUUCUUUGGAAAUAGAGCAUCAAUGUUCCCCACUGUUCGCAGGGAGGAAAUCUGCUGAGUUCAGACGGCUGUAAUCAAUCCACAUUGCAAAGUCACAAAUGGGGAAACAAAGGACAAUCGCUGCCCAUUUUUUGCACUGCGGAUGCAUUAAUCAGACUCCAUUUUCUUCACUGCUUCAGAAUGCAUUCUCAGGGGGAUGUGCCAGCCUCCUGCCUCCGUUGGUUACAUAGCUGUCCCCUGUCACUGCAGCCAGAGCUGGGACAGCACACUCACCACUUGAAGCAUUUCACAGUUGUGAUCCCAAGCAGAAGACCAGUGCACUGGAGAGGCAGAUACACCAGGGGAAAGACUUGGAGUAUCUACACGAAGUGUCUGAACACGUAUAGGGAGCAUACCACAAGAGUCACCGAGCUCAGUCGACUCCGGGAGCAUUUCUUAUCUUUCAAACCUCUUUUCACUGUGAAGAAAAAUUUCUUCCUUUUCAGGCAUUCUGUAGCAAGAGCAAAAAUAGGAACCCAGUUAUGCCUGGCCUCGCUGCAGGGAGGUGAGAACGGGUGAGGACGGAGGGUGCUGUGCUGCGGUUACGCCUAGGGCACAACCUGUGCAGGAACUCGCUGUCCCCGACCGAGGCACGUAACCUUUAGCAGCUCACUUGUUCUGGGAGGGGAUGGCAGAGCAGCUGCACUCUGCCAGAGCAGCAGGGGAGACUGUACCUGAGCUCUGUUCCUUGAAGGGCUAAGCCUUGGUGUAUUCAUAUUUUAGGCACCCUUUACCUCCACCUCGUAGACUUGUGAUGCAAGAGAGGAUGGAUGAGUCUUUCCCUAGGCUAUUUAGGAGAAACCUGCUUCCAUCUGGGAGAGGGACUCAGCAGUAAAUGGGCAGCAUUGGUAGGCGAUUACAGCACCCCCAUGGCUUCAGACUCUUUGUGAGGCUGACUGAGGGGUAGGAAUAGGCAGGGGUAGGUUGGCAGCUCGGGUGCAGCAGACACCAGUGAUCUGCCAGCUCUUUCUGCCUCGUGCUCUGUCACUAGACCCAGAUAACUGGGCCUGUCUGCGCCCAGUCUGAGAUCUCUGACGUCGCUCUGGGAAGGCUGGUGUGCCUGCGCAGCUCUCAGGCAUUGUUCAGAAAAGCCACUGUGGGUUUUCAAACCCAUUUAGUUCUGCAGAUGUGUUUCAUUGCUACUGUGUUUCUAGAUCUGUGCCCUUUUUUUUACCUUUAACAUCAAUAACAUCAACAAGAGAGAUUUAAAGGCAGCAAUCAUAUCUCCCCUCUGGCUUUAUUUAGCAGCUUCUUUUAGUCUCAUAAGGUAGUUUACUCAUAAAAUAAACCACUUAACCUUGUAGCCUUCCUCUGCACCUAUCCCAAUUUGAAUGUCUUUUCUGAAUGCUAGCGACCCAGUGACUCAAAAGAUGUCAGAAGAGGUGUUGCCAAUGCCUUGGACAAGGGCCGGAAUUCUUCCUAUGCUCUACCAACACUUUUUUGUAUCCUGUGAUCAUGUUUUCCAUCCUAUGAUCACAUUUGCAGUUUCUCAGGACCGCGCUGACUGGCAGGCUGCAGUAAUCCUGUGAUCAGCCAGUGUGUUCAUGCUCAUCUCCCUCCUCUGUUGUUUCUGUUUCAUUCUUGUUGUUAGCUGAAGCUCUUGAUCUCACACUUUCUUCUUUUAAGUUUCAGCUCAUUUCUAUUAUCUCACUGCCCCUUUCUGACUCUUUCAGAAAAACAAAAAAUGCUCUAUUGUUGAUGCCACCUUAUCCUCAUUAUUAUCUAUUCAUUUUCCUCAAGGGACUGGUAUUUUAUGUAAAAUAAUCAUGUAAUACUCUAAGUAGGAAAAUCAGGAGGCCUUGCUCUUUUUUAAGUAGGAUCAAUCAAAAAAUACCCCCACGCAUAGAUGCGGUGCUCAGUGACAUGAUUUAGUGAUGGGCACAACAGUCCUGGGUUAAUGACUGGACUUGAUGAUCUCAAAGGUCUUUUCCGACCUAAGUGAUUCUAUGAUUCUGUGAUCCUGUGAAUUCAGAUAAUCUUAGACAGCAUGUAUCUGCCCACUGCACCAGGGCUGGUCGCUUGUGGAAAGCCAGUGUUGCAGUAGCUGGCAGCACACAGAGUCUGCAGCUCACAGGGAAUCACUGUAGGGCAUGUAUGCAAUUGAUUAAAUGAUAUUGUGCACAGUCAUCAAAAAUGGAGCAUCACAAUACAUGUAAAGAUGUGCUUUGUUCUAAUCUUCGCCUGCAUAAUAUCAGGGGAACAUGUAUUUCUAGAUAAAAUAAAUGUAAAUGGGUAUAACCAAGCCUGACAAAGUUACCAGACUUGCCAAUUGCUGGAGGUAAGCUGAGAGAACAUAAAUUCCCCAUCCAGUUCCCAAUAAAAUAUUUUAAAAACUCACAGGUGGGGGAUGUGCUGCUUUAAGGGGCCAGUACAGCAGGUCUCUGAGUGGAGUGAUCCACGUGUCCCGCAAAGGUGGGCUUGAUGAAGCGGUAGAGAUUUUACAGGAGCUGAAAUAUAAAUAAAGGAGAAAGGCAAAUGUCUGAGGAUGAGUCAGCCAAAAGGUGAAUGCGUUUAGUCAUAAGUGGGCUGUUUUGUAGAUCACACCGCGACUCAGAAACCAAGAUAAGGCUGCAGAGUCUGUGCUUGAACUUUUUAGAAAUCUUUAUUUAUUACUAGAGGAUGACAUCCACAAUGUCCCUGCUCCUUUCCUUCUCUCUUUUAUUCAGCUCCUACUUCUUUAGCUUUCUGUUCUCUUGCUUUUUCCUUUUGCGCUUUAAUUUCUUUCUCUAAUUAAAUUAAAAAGGACUGCAUGUGACUUACAAUAUCUAACUUCUCACUGGCAAUCCCAGAUUCAGUAGUGAUUUUAACUGACAGUUUGUAAUUAAAGAUAGAAGGUUUAUAGGUUUCAACUGCAUAUCUGCAUUUCUUGUCUUCUGAGUGUUUUUUGAAAACAUAACUGUGUAAAUCAGGACUUUUUAUAUGUGUAUAUGUAUAAAUAUUUCUGCUUUUCUAUCUGAUCAGAUUAGUGUUAUUUAGGUCACCUCUAGUCAAAGAAGCCACGCUGGUAUAGCAGUAUCAGCUAGGGGAGUGAUUGCUUUGGGUUGUUGGUGGGGUUUUUUUUUUCCCUUUCUGUCUGGGGAAAAUCUGAGUUUAAUGUGCAGCAAAAUUAGAAGAAUCCCCACAAGGACACAACAAAAAAUCAUGCUUUUUCUGGGAGAGCUUACUUUCCUUUGGGUAAAGCUCUACAGCCCUGCAGUGAGUUGGCCUUCUGAGGAGCGGCCCCUUCCCCUAACACCGCUCCGCAGCGCGGCGGCCGGCGUUUCCCCGCGGGGUGAGGUGACCUGCCGGCCGCCCCCGGAGGCCUGCGGCGGCGCCCGCCCGGCGCUCCCGGCAAGCCGUGCCCAGGGCUGCCCGGCUCCCGGGGCGCUUUCCGCGGAAGAGGAUGCUGUGAAACGGCAAAAUCGAUCGGGUCCCGGGUCACUUGGCAAUCCCGCUGCACGCCCGCACAAGUACGAAAGACUGGGAAUGCUUAGUUAGUGCUGUUCUGCUACAAGAGCCCACCGCAGCCUUCCUAUUUUGUCGGCAUUUGCUCCCUUUUAGUAUCAGUACUGCUCACUGGGAAUUUGUUGUGAAGUAAAAGCCUUAAAUGCAAAGUACUUCCCAGGCCAGUAAGAAAUAUUUAAACACUUCAGGCAUUCAGUCUGUGAUUCAGAGAUUUAUUUAUAAAACUGUUGAUUUUGGGACACUAAACCAUCGCAUUUAAACUGCAGGAGUGAGUCAUAUUUGUGGGAGGUAAUUACUACCAGAAAGUACAACUAACUUUUGUAGGUUUCUCUGUAAAAUGUCCACUUAUGAUCUGCAACUACUAAAAAUAACAUGCUUUGUUGAAUUUCAGCACAAGUUAUCUUUACAGAAUUAUGUGGCUUUAUACAUAUAUUCUGUU